CGGAGGGUGCAAGCGUUAUCCGGAUUCACUGGGUUUAAAGGGUGCGUAGGCGGGUUUGUAAGUCAGUGGUGAAAUCCCGAAGCUUAACUUCGGAACUGCCGUUGAUACUACAGGUCUUGAAUACUCGGGAGGUGAGCGGAAUAUGUCAUGUAGCGGUGAAAUGCUUAGAUAUGACAUAGACACCGAUUGCGAAGGCAGCUCACUACAGAGUCAUUGACGCUGAGGCACGAAAGCGUGGGAUCAAACAGGAUU
rnacentral:rRNA from 1 species